CCUGCUGCCCCUGCUGCUGCCGCUGCCCCGCGCCCGCCCGGGCUCCGCUCGGGCACCGCAGAGCGAGGCAGUGCCCGGGGCUGGGCACAGAUCGCUCUGGGUGUCGUUUCACCCUGGGGGAAAUCGAGGCAGGAGAGAGUUUUCCGAGUUCUUUUGGCAAAGCAGGGGGAAAGCUGCAAACCAAAAACGGAUCCCGUUACUCCGCGUCCCGGGCUUGCUUUGGUGAAUCCCCCUGGCAAGCAGCAGUGUGCACAGGGAGUGCCCGGAGCCCCUUUCCAGCGGCGGGAGGGCUCCAGGGCACUGCCCCCGCUUCCCCCUGGCCAGCAGCCCCAGCCCGGCCACGGCAGCGCUUCCAGCACCCAUGGGGGCAUUCACGUUUGUCUUGGCAUAUUUGCUUUGCACGAUACGGUGCAACUGUCAGGGCACACACGGGAACCGGGAAUGGGGAACCGGCGCUGGAGCCAAAGGAGACGGAAUGGGGUCAGAGCAGAGGGAGAUUCGUGCCUCAGAACGUGGAAUACAAAAGUUUUGAGAUUUGCGGGGAUUUCUUGCAAGCAUUCCAGUUCACUCGCUCCAGGUCUACAGCAGCUGCCUCUGGAAUGACACCAGCUUUGGGGAGAUGCUCUUUGUCCCGUUUGUGAUUUCCCUGGCAGCAGCUCUGAGCAGGUCAGUGAGAUCAGAGCUGCAUGGCACCAGAGCUGCUCGCCCACCCUGCAGAGCUGCAGCUGGAGCAGCAGAGGGGCAGAGCAGGGGCAGGAAGGCAAUGCCAGCUGCUGACAGCCACAGCAGGGCCUGAGAUGCUGUGGGUGGUGUUGGAGGUGAGCUGGAGGGGAACAGGAGGGACCCAGAGCAGUGU